GGUUGACCUCGGAUCAGGUAGGAUACCCGCUGAACUUAAGCAUAUCAAUAAGCGGAGGA
rnacentral:rRNA from 2 species